GGGAAGCAGGAAGAGGAGAGAGAAGUGGAGCAGAGACGGGGAAGCGUCUGCACUGGAGCCACGGAGAUCCUAAGAGCUGUGAAGACAAGCCAUUUAGAUGAAAGGGGGUCUCCGCCACAGGAGCGCGGGUGAGGGCCUGGCACUGGGACAGCGGCCACGCAAGCCACCCCUCUGGAAAGAGUUGAAGCACAGAAGACAUCCCCAGGCCACCGCAGGAUCUGUUACAGGCCUCUCAUCUUGAAUGGCGUUUUUGGCUGGUCUUCAGGCUUCCCUUUCAUUCCUCCACUUCCCUCAACAAGCAGGAUAAAACUGUAGAACAAGGGUUCAGCAAAGAACAGCCUGCUUUGACCUCAAG